rnacentral:rRNA from 1 species
AUUGAACGCUGGCGGCAGGCUUAACACAUGCAAGUCGAGUGGAGAUGAGGUGCUUGCACCUUAUCUUAGCGGCGGACGGGUGAGUAAUGCUUAGGAAUCUGCCUAUUAGUGGGGGACAACAUUCCGAAAGGAAUGCUAAUACCGCAUACGUCCUACGGGAGAAAGCAGGGGAUCUUCGGACCUUGCGCUAAUAGAUGAGCCUAAGUCGGAUUAGCUAGUUGGUGGGGUAAAGGCCUACCAAGGCGACGAUCUGUAGCGGGUCUGAGAGGAUGGUCCGCCACACUGGGACUGAGACACGGCCCAGACUCCUACGGGAGGCAGCAGUGGGGAAUAUUGGACAAUGGGGGGAACCCUGAUCCAGCCAUGCCGCGUGUGUGAAGAAGGCCUUAUGGAUGUAAAGCACUUGAAGCGCUGAGGAGGCUACUGAGACUAAUACUCUUGGAUAGUGGACGUUACUCGCAGAAUAAGCACCGGCUAACUCUGUGCCAGCCGCCGCCGUAA